CUCCUUGAUUUGGAAGGCACAAUGCCCUAGAGCCCUUGCGCCGCAACCCUUCCUUCUCUCGGUCCACGCCGGCGACAUUCCGCCGGCAUCCCCGACGCCAGCUCCAAGCUCCAUUCCUCCUUACGCCGGAGGGCUCGCCCGUGACUUUCUCACUCCUAGCCUGCUCGGCUUUCCCCGCCUCUCUGACUGAUACCCUUGACGUCGGCCUCCAUCUUCACCGGCGAGCAACCCUUCCGGUGGUCUCCCCUUUUCCAGCUAACGAGCCCUGCCGUCGUUCUCUCUCACCGACGAUUCAUGCACGGCAUGCCCUAGCGGCCCGGUUUCUUCAAGCGACCAACCCUCCUGGUACACUCUUCAAUUCGCGGCGCUCAGAGAUUUGAAAUUCUCAUUGUUCUUCUCCUGUGGGGUCGCUCCUACCUGAAACCAUGGAGGCAGAUGCAGGAAGGGAAAACUCCCGCCAGCGAUAUCCCUGUAGGUAAGCUCCCGCUGGCCGCCUCCUUCCCUCCUUCUACUUUCGGCCUGGAGCUUCGCCAGAGCGCCUACCUUUGGCGGGUUGCGACCACGUUGCGGCAUAUAGAGUCAAGAACAACCUCCCUCACGAAGGUCUGUCGGUGGCCCGGACACUAACGGUUUGAAGCUGGCAAAGGGAAUGCGGCUGCAACCAUGCGAAGUCAAAAGUGAUCCCGAAUGGCCGUGGAAUUUGUUUUUUUUCAAUAAUUCAAAGCAACACAAGAAGAUUUCAUUGAUUCUUAUCUCUUGAUGUCCUCGCUGAAGAUCAAGUCACAGGUAUCAUGGAGCUUUUAACAUUCUUUACGUCUGCUCUGACUUUUUCAUACAAUGAAAGUCAGAGCAGCGUUUGUUGUCAACUACACAAUACAACUGUCAAUGCCUGUUUGGUCAAAGUGAUCUCAACCCAUCUUGCAAAGCUCAUGGCAAUGGGCUUUAGCUCAAAGGAAGCUAGAUGUAAUUUGUUGGAGCAGUGAUAAUCUUCAAUAUGAAUUUUUUAUGUUUUUAAGAUCAUUACCAUCAAACUUAUCUAUCAUCUUCUCCAUAUCCUCGCAUGUACUGAUCUCGUUUACUUGUAGAAAUCCAGAAGACAAAUUGUGACGGUAAAUACGAUAAAAAAGUAUGUGAAUGAGCGCAACAAUCAGUAAAUAAAAAACUGUUAGAAAAAAACCACCAAUAACUAUAUAUAUCUAAUUAAUAAUAAUAAAUGUAGGCAUUGUUAUACUCAUUCAUGCAUGCAACUGUAUAAACCUUGCCAAAAGAGCAUAUUUUUUUUUUUUAAAUAUAAUCAUGUUGUGCAAGGUUCAAGGAAUAUUAAUCUACUAAUAAAGAUGCUGAAGUGAGAG